UUGUUGCCAGCGAUUAGGUCGGGAACUCAAAGGAGACUGCCAGUGAUAAACUGGAGGAAGGUGGGGAUGACGUCAAGUCAUCAUGGCCCUUACGACCAGGGCUACACACGUGCUACAAUGGCGCAUACAAAGAGAAGCGACCUCGCGAGAGCAAGCGGACCUCAUAAAGUGCGUCGUAGUCCGGAUUGGAGUCUGCAACUCGACUCCAUGAAGUCGGAAUCGCUAGUAAUCGUGGAUCAGAAUGCCACGGUGAAUACGUUCCCGGGCCUUGUACACACCGCCCGUCACACCAUGGGAGUGGGUUGCAAAAGAAGUAGGUAGCUUAACCUUCGGGAGGGCGCUUACCACUUUGUGAUUCAUGACUGGGGUGAAGUCGUAACAAGGUAACCGUAGGGGAACCUGCGGUUGGA
rnacentral:rRNA from 6 species